UACGUAGGGGGCAAGCGUUGUCCGGAUUUAUUGGGCGUAAGAGCGUGUAGGCGGCCUGGUAGGUCAGCUGUGAAAACUCGAGGCUCAACCUCGAGACGCCGGUUGAAACCAUCAGGCUAGAGUCCGGAAGAGGAGAGUGGAAUUCCCGGUGUAGCGGUGAAAUGCGCAGAUAUCGGGAAGAACACCCGUGGCUAAGGCGGCUCUCUAGUACGGUACUGACGCUGAGACGCGAAAGCGUGGGGAGCGAACAGG
rnacentral:rRNA from 1 species